AACGAACGCUGGCGGCAUGCCUAACACAUGCAAGUCGAACGGGAUCCUGGCUUCGGUCAGGUGAGAGUGGCGGACGGGUGAGUAACGCGUGGGAACCUGCCCAGUGGUGGGGGAUAACUGCGGGAAACUGCAGCUAAUACCGCAUGAGCCCGAGAGGGGAAAGAUUUAUCGCCAUUGGAGGGGCCCGCGUUCGAUUAGGUAGUUGGUGAGGUAACGGCUCACCAAGCCGACGAUCGAUAGCUGGUCUGAGAGGAUGAUCAGCCACACUGGGACUGAGAUACGGCCCAGACUCCUACGGGAGGCAGCAGUGGGGGAAUAUUGGACAAUGGGGGGCAACCCUGAUCCAGCAAUGCCGCGUGAGUGAUGAAGGCCUUCGGUUGUAAAGACUCUUUUGUCCGGGGACGAUGAUGACGGUACCCGGACGGAAUAAAGA
rnacentral:rRNA from 1 species